UACAGAGGUCUCGAGCGUUAAUCGGAGUCACUGGGCUUAAAGGGUGCGUAGGCGGUCCCGUAAGUGCUUUGUGAAAUCCCACGGCUUAACCGUGGAAUUGCUUGGCAUACUGCGGGACUUGAGGUCGGUAGAGGUCGCUGGAACUCUAGGUGGAGCGGUGAAAUGCGUAGAUAUCUAGAGGAACGCCGAAGGUGAAGACAGGCGACUGGGCCGAUUCUGACGCUGAGGCACGAAAGCGUGGGGAG
rnacentral:rRNA from 1 species